GACGAACGCUGGCGGCGUGCCUAAUACAUGCAAGUCGAGCGGACUGAAUGGGAGCUUGCUCUUGUUCGGUCAGCGGCGGACGGGUGAGUAACACGUGGGCAACCUGCCCGCAAGACCGGGAUAACUCCGGGAAACCGGAGCUAAUACCGGAUAACACCGAAGACCGCAUGGUCUUUGGUUGAAAGGCGGCGCAAGCUGCCACUUGCGGAUGGGCCCGCGGCGCAUUAGCUAGUUGGUGAGGUAACGGCUCACCAAGGCGACGAUGCGUAGCCGGCCUGAGAGGGUGACCGGCCCCACUGGGACUGAGAAACGGCUCAGACUCCUACGGGAGGCAGCAGUAGGGAAUCUUCCGCAAUGGGCGAAAGCCUGACGGAGCGACGCCGCGUGAGCGAAGAAGGCCUUCGGGUCGUAAAGCUCUGUUGUGAGGGACGAAGGAGCGCCGUUUGAAGAAGGCGGCGCGGUGACGGUACCUCACGAGGAAGCCCCGGCUAACUACGUG
rnacentral:rRNA from 1 species